rnacentral:rRNA from 1 species
AGGACUUGACGGUACCCCAUAUCCAUCUAGAGGAGCCUGUCCUAUAAUCGAUAAUCCCCGUUUAACCUCACCAUUUUUAGCCUAUCAGCCUGUAUACCUCCGUCGUCAGCUUACCACGUGAGCGACUUUAAGUGAGCUUAAUGCUCUUACGCCAACACGUCAGGUCAAGGUGCAGCAUAUAAAAUGGGAAGAGAUGGGCUACACUCUCUAACCUAGAAAACACGAAAGACUAUUUAUGAAACUUAGUCCGAAGGCGGAUUUAGCAGUAAAAAGAGACAAUAGAGCUCUUUUUAACACGGCCCUGGGGUGUGUACACACCGCCCGUCACCCUCUUCAAAACCAAAUUAUACAGUUCUUAACGCACCUGAACCCCAUAGAAGAGGCAAGUCGUAACAUGGUAAGCAUACCGGAAGGUGUGCUUGGAAA